rnacentral:lncRNA from 1 species
UACUAGAAACCUUAGAAGUAUAACGGUGGCUGGUGUUUGUGGCUGGUGUAGUGUUUUGGUUUGAGAGGCAGACUUAGAGCCUAGAGUUGGAGUGUAGGCUCAGGAAUCACACACACACACACACACACACACACACACACACACACACACACACCCCUCCACCCCCACUCAAUCGAGCUUCCAGAAUCCAGCAAAGGCAAAAUGACAGCAGGCUUCCUCCUGUCUCGUUCCCAACAUCCAGGCCCACGACGAAGCAUGAAUGGCAGCACGUGGGAACAGGACGGGGUGGUAGACGGAAGAACUCACCUGGCUGGUUGGUGAUGCUGUUUGAUUCACGGAAACCCCGAACAGGAAUGUCCGGCCUCUUGCCUGACGGGGGCCCGGGAGGACGGGGACCAGGUCCCAGCCAACCUCGCCCUCCACGGAGCUCUGGGCACCGAGACUGGCGGGCGCCGGGAGAGCCGGAGAACCAAGGGUUGCAUCUGUGCUCUGGUUUGGGUUCAGUUUUAUUUUAAGGCCAGGAAAAUGCAAAGCAUCCUGGCCUGUAUUCCUCACGAUUCUUGCCAGGGGAAAGAAAUCUGUCUCCUGUUUCAAGAACUGCACGCGAUGGCUUGUGGUUGGGGCAGUAAAGACAACCCCACGGAACUUUACAGGGUGCAACGGGCUUUCCUUCGUCAGAUCCCAAGUGGGACGCCAGUAAGCCCUGACCGCCAAUCCUAUUCAUCAGCCUAGUCACGGAGCUGAUGGCUCCCGACUAGAUCCCCAGACUUCCUGUCCCCUGUCAACACGGGGCCAGGCUCCCCCAGCAGGAAGAGUCUUGGAACCACAAGCCACCACCUCGAGCCUCAUCACGGGCAUACCUUCCCCUUCAGAUGCUGCAGAGAAGCUGUGCGAUCAGACACACACACUUACACACCCCUCUUCCUGCGCGCCUCCUCCCAAGGCUGUGUCACAAAUCUAUUGUGCCACCUGGAAUUCCCUCCCCACCUCCCCAACCCCAAAUGAUUUUUUUUUUUUUUUUGGCUUUUUAGGGCCAAACCCACGGCAUAUGGAAUUCCCAGGCUAGGGGUCGAAUUGGAGCUGUAGCUGCUGGCCAGGGCCACACCCGAUCCGAGCCACAUCUGCGACCUACAUCACAGCUCAUGACAACACUGGAUCCGUAAGCCACUGAACGAGGCCAGGGAUCGAACCUGCAUCCUCAUGGAUACCAGUUGGAUUCAUUACCACUGAGCUGCAGCAGGAACUGAUUUUUUUUAUUAGUGGGUUCUACAUGCCUAUGUUGGGUGAUUUGAGAAGAAGGAGAACGCAGAUAUUUGCCCACUAAGAUGAUCAUUGUUAUCAUCACGGCAUAUUUUUAAGCAUAUUUUUACCGUAGUUGUCACCAUCAUACCCACAGGAUCUUGUCUCUUGCAUACAUUUCGCCUGCCGUCAUCACAGGCAUCUCCCAUGUCCCUAAAAAUGGUUUGUCAGGCCUUACUUUCAGAAGUUUGCAACACUCUGCGGUGAGGAUGUACCACCAUUUUUCUAACCAAUUAUUGUUGGACAAUUAGCUGUUUCUAAUGUUUCAGUGUUAAAUAAAAAAAUGUUGCAGGGACCA